UACGAAGGGGGCUAGCGUUGCUCGGAAUCACUGGGCGUAAAGCGCACGUAGGCGGAUUGCUAAGUCAGGGGUGAAAUCCUGGAGCUCAACUCCAGAACUGCCUUUGAUACCGGCGAUCUUGAGUCCGGGAGAGGUGAGUGGAACUGCGAGUGUAGAGGUGAAAUUCGUAGAUAUUCGCAAGAACACCAGUGGCGAAGGCGGCUCACUGGCCCGGUACUGACGCUGAGGUGCGAAAGCGUGGGGAGCAAACAGG
rnacentral:rRNA from 1 species